GAUGAACGCUGGCGGCGUGCCUAAUACAUGCAAGUCGAGCGCUCAGACGAGGAGCUUGCUCUUCUUACGUUAGCGGCGGACGGGUGAGUAACACGUGGAUAACCUACCUAUUAGCCUGGGAUAACUUCUGGAAACCGUAGCUAAUACCGCAUAAUAUAUUGUAUCGCAUGGUUCUAUAGUGAAAGACGCUUUUGCUUUCCCUUCUAGUUGGAUCCCCGCCGCUUUAGCUAGUUGUUAAGUUAACGCCUUACCAAGGCAACGAUGGGUAGCCGACCUGAGAGGGUGAUCGGCCACACUGGAACUGAGACACGGACCAGAGGACUACGGGAGGAAGCAGUAGGGAAUAUUGCGCAAUGGGCGAAAGCCUGACGGAGCAACGCCGCGUGAGGGAUGAAGGUCUUCGGAUCGUAAAACUCGGUUAUUAGGGAAGAACAAAAGUGUAAGUAACUAUGCACGUCUUGACGGUACCUAAUCAGAAAGCCACGGCUAACUACGUG
rnacentral:rRNA from 1 species